rnacentral:lncRNA from 1 species
GGAUCUACUUACCGGAGACCUGGAAAAAAACCAGUGACCCUUACUCUGAAGGAGACCCACCGCAGGACCCCGACCUAGACCUCUCUUCUUCAUUUUCUUCAGCUAUCAACACAUCCAAAAGGCCCACCCUAAAUCACCAAUACCUGGAGCACCUCUUCUUCUGCAAAAAUGAGAAGCAACCGCAGACCCCAUCUUCACCCUUUAACCCAACUAGCCAUGGCCAAAAUGACCUCAUUCUUCAUUUUCCUCAUCCGGUUUCAUCGAUAACAGUCCGGUGACAGCAUGGUUGAACAACAUCGACGAACCACCACUGUUUCACCAUUUUCUAUCUAAUGUUCUCACUCUGUUCUCUCGUUCACAGAUCCGAAGGGAAAUAAACAAAAAGUUUCAAUUCUUCUUAGUUUCAAUUUGAAUCUAAAUUUGAAAAUACACAAAAAAUUCAAGUUUCCACUCUGACUUUGGGUUCCAAAUACAUAGAGAUUAGCUGAGGAUCGUUGACUGCUCGUGAGGUUCAAGUUCGUUGGUUCUGAGUCAAUUUCUAUUGCUGUCUUGUUCGUUUGCUACUGGACGCACGAAUUCCGGCGCCGGAUUUGCUUGUAAUAGCUUCUGAACAAGGUUAAUCGAAAGUUUAAUUUAGGUUCAUCUUUCUGCAUUGUUUCUCUGUUGAUGUCGUUAAAAUCAUGGAUGGCAAUUUCGUUAAAAUUGGGUAGAUGACAAAGUCAUUUGAUGGAGUUGUUUUCUUAAUGAUUCAAGUUUAACAAUAUAAUAUAAUUUGCAGCAUUUUAGUGAAGUCUUAGUAAUAUGUUUAAAGUGUUCCCUUUCUUUUUUUUGACAUUAAUAUUUUGAGUAAAGAUCAGAUGGUGCUAUUGUCCACAAUACAGAUAAACAAAUUAAGCAUAAUGCAGCUUUUAUAGCUUAAAAAUGAGAGACCAAGGACACUCUUUGUUAUUAGACUAUUGAGUACAUUGCUUGUCCUCCCACAACUGGCAUAGAUAUACAUCCACAUGAAAUUCUUACCUUAUCUAAAAAAGAUAUGUGGUUCUUAUUGUUUAAACGUGAUCCACUGAAGCAGGCGUUGCUGGUGUAGUUGGUGUGGCUAGUGUAGCUGAUGCUAUCGUAAAUUGUACACCUCUUGACUGUCCCGAGUGUAACACAACUGCAAAUUGUGUUGCUGCCAAUGCUUCUGCUUCCUCUCUUUGGUUAAGAUCUAGAAAAUAUUUAUCUCCAGCUAGUUUGUCUUUGUCUGCUAAAGUCAAUUGAGCUUAUAAUCCAUUUCCAUAGCACUCUGUUAGGAAGUUUGCAUUUCCUUAGGUUUAUUUGCGUUCCAAUGAGCUAAUUUGAUGCUUGGAUUUGUUUUGUUCCUUUACAUGAGCCUAACUCCCUUUUCGAUAUCUCCCAGUAUUAGUCUUCAGUUAUUUUUUGAUCGC